CCCUGACAGUUACAUACCGUAGCUGACUAACCCAAGACAGGAGAUUAACAUG
rnacentral:sRNA from 12 species